rnacentral:misc_RNA from 1 species
UUUCCGUAGGUGAACCUGCGGAAGGAUCAUUACUGUAGUCGCCCGGGUUGCCGCAAGGCCUCCCGGGUAACCUACCACCCUUUGUUUAUUACACUUUGUCGCUUUGGCAGGCCUGCCCUCGGGCUGCUGGCUCCGGCCGGCGAGCGCUUGCCAGAGGACCUAAACUCUGUUUGUCUAUACUGUCUGAGUACUAUAUAAUAGUUAAAACUUUCAACAACGGAUCUCUUGGUUCUG